rnacentral:rRNA from 1 species
UGAGGAAUAUUGGUCAAUGGGCGAGAGCCUGAACCAGCCAAGUAGCGUGCAGGAUGACGGCCCUAUGGGUUGUAAACUGCUUUUGUAUGGGGAUAAAGUCAAUCACGUGUGAUUGUUUGCAGGUACCAUACGAAUAAGGACCGGCUAAUUCCGUGCCAGCAGCCGCGGUAAUACGGAAGGUCCGGGCGUUAUCCGGAUUUAUUGGGUUUAAAGGGAGCGUAGGCUGGAGAUUAAGUGUGUUGUGAAAUGUAGACGCUCAACGUCUGACUUGCAGCGCAUACUGGUUUCCUUGAGUACGCACAACGUUGGCGGAAUUCGUCGUGUAGCGGUGAAAUGCUUAGAUAUGACGAAGAACUCCGAUUGCGAAGGCAGCUGACGGGAGCGCAACUGACGCUGAAGCUCGAAGGUGCGGGUAUCGAACAGGAUUAGAUACCCUGGUAGUCCGCACAGUAAACGAUGGAUGCCCGCUGUUGGUACUUGGUAUCAGCGGCUAAGCGGAAGCAUUAAGCAUCCCACCUGGGGAGUACGCCGGUAACGGUG